UACGGAGGGUGCGAACGUUGCUCGGAAUCAUUGGGCGUAAAGCGCACGUAGGCGGCAAAGCAAGUUGGGUGUGAAAGCCCUGGGCUCAACCCAGGAAGUGCAUUCAAAACUACUUUGCUUGAAUCUCGGAGGGGGUCAGAGAAUUCCCGGUGUAGAGGUGAAAUUCGUAGAUAUCGGGAGGAAUACCAGUGGCGAAGGCGCUGACCUGGACGAAGAUUGACGCUGAGGUGCGAAAGCGUGGGGAGCAAACAGG
rnacentral:rRNA from 1 species